UACGUAGGCAGCGAGCGUUGUUCGGAGUUACUGGGCGUAAGGCGUGCGUAGGCGGUGUCUUAAGUUUGUUGUGAAAUCUCCCGGCUUAACCGGGAGGGUGCGGCGAAUACUGAGAUGCUGGAGUGCCGGAGAGGUAAGCGGAAUUCCUGGUGUAGCGGUGAAAUGCGUAGAUAUCAGGAGGAACACCAAUGGCGAAGGCAGCUCGCUGGGACGUGACUGACGCUGAGAUACGAAAGCCAAGGUAGCAAACAGG
rnacentral:rRNA from 1 species